rnacentral:rRNA from 1 species
AUGGCUAUGGAGGUUCUGUACCCGUUCUUCCUCUGCCUCGCCGUGCUCACCGGCAGAGCAGUCUCCGCCCCACCACACUCGCAGUGCCACGACAACCCGCCGGACAUGACGGCCGCCAGGGUCGAGGCGGGAAAGGUCGUCCAUGACUUUGCUGGCUACACGGCUUACGUUACCGGCGCCAUCCACUCCGACCGGGCCGUCGUCCUGGCCUCCGACGUCUACGGAUUCGAAGCGCCGUUGCUGAGGAAGAUAGCAGACAAAAUUGGUGAAGCUGGAUACUAUGUCGUGGUCCCUGAUUUCUUUAAUGGGCAACCUUUAACGGGGGCACCAGGUGAAAACCUCACACAAUGGCUCAGUGAGCACUCUCCGGUAAAAGCUGCUCAAGAUGCUAAACCAAUAUUUGCAACCUUGAGAAAAGAGCGAAAAUUUAGUCUUGGAGUUGGAGGAUACUGUUGGGGUGGAAAGUUCGCAGUGGAGGUAGCGAAAAUGAAUGAGGUGAAGGCAGUUGUCAUCUCCCAUCCUUACUCAGUCAUUGUCGGUGAUAUGAGAGAGGUCAAGUGUCCCAUUGAAAUCCUUGGAGGCGAAUAUGACCAAGCUACACCACAAAAGUUCAUAUAUCAGUUUUUGAAUGCCCUUCGCAAAAGAAGUGACAAGAUACCUUACUUCGGGAAGAUCUUUCCAGGAGUUUGCCAUGGCUUUGCUUGUAGAUACAAUGUCACCAACCCAUUCGAAGUCGAAACCGGUGAACAAGCUCUUGCCCUAAUGGUUGGAUGGUUCGAGAAACAUCUGAAAUGA